CACUCGCACGCGCGCGCACACACACACAUUCACACACACCCUCUCCCCUCCCCCGCUGCCCAAAGGUGUCUCGGAGGAAAAAGCCCGGGGUCCACGCUCCCCCCCCCCACCCCGGUCUUUCUGAGGUCCAGCUUUUACUGCAUUCCGCUUAACCGAAUAACCAUGCUAAUUAAGCGAGUAAUUUUAUUGAUUGUAACUCAAGAGUUUUUUUUUUUUAAAUAACCUUCCUUUUCUCCUCUCUCCCAUCCCCCCCAUGCGUCUUUCAGUCCAUUCUUUUGAAUGUCGUCCCCCGACUCAGCCCCAGCGGGACCGGCCCCCACCCUUCAGCAUUGUGCCACAACCCCAGACUGGCGUCCCGGAACCCCGGGCGCCCCUCGACCGCCACUGGCAUCACCUGGGCCGCUACGCCGCAGUGCCUGGCCUGCUGUCCCCGAGCCGGGAGCUUCCUGGUGAGGCUGGAACAAUCACCCCGCCCCCCAACCAAAUUCGCCCAGGAUCUUCCUCUGCGGAUUGGGGCUUUUGGGGGAGGGGGCUCAGAGAGUCAGAAAUUGUUUUCUCUCGGCCUCCCAAAUCGGCCACGACGUUUCUCCAUUCAGCGCCUGCCCUGGAUCACCUAACCAAGGUUGGUCUCUGCAUGGCACCCUGGUCGACCCUGCGGGGAAGGAGCAGAGACCAAGCAAGGCGCAGCUUUCUCCUGGGUCUGGGUCCCAGCAGACCCUGGUCCUCCGUCUUCCCUCCCCACCUCUGGCAAGGCCGACUUAAAAUGAUCCUCCUCUCCCUUUUCUUCUACCCCUCCCAUUGUGAAAUGUCUACUCCAGGGCGAAAUCGCAGGCAAUUUCAAACUCUUGAGAGGAGCAACCGAGCAAACGGUAUAAACUGUACACCACCAUGCACGUGCGACCAAAGUCCCUCGGCCCUCCUCCAUUUCGAAGACUUCUUUCCUUAUUUCCAAAUACGCAUUGUUUUAAUGCUUGACCUCAGCUCCAGCAGAAGGGAGGUAUUCGUAAUUGUGAACUUUACAGAAAAUCAAAAUCUUUUUUUAAGCCAUCCCACCGUGACAACAAAGCGAUUAAGAUGUUUUGUAUUUCGUAAAUACCAUUUAAAUUGCUAUAUUUUAUGCUCUGGGUUCUACAUUGUCUUAUUUGCACACUAUUUUGUGUCUGAUUUAAUCUAUAACCGAAAACAUAAUGUAUUAAGUGAAUACAUAUUUGCUCAGGUGAUAAGCUUUUUUUAAUAUUUAUUCGGAGAAUUUUGCAUGGUAAAUAAACGACACUACACAAAGACUUCCCUUUGUGCUCAAACUGCAUACAAAGGGGUUUGGGGCUCUCUUCCCUCUGGGGAGUUUCACUCUCCCCGGGUCCAACAAAUAAACUCUCCUCUCCACCGCGCCGGCCUGCUCAGCGAUCGCCAGGGUGCGGAAGGCGCAGGCAAGGCCGAGGCUCUAAGCUGGCGCCGGGGUCAGGGGAGGGGCUACCCAGGGCCGGUGAGGGACUUGCGCGCCCCUACCCAGGCCGGCGCCUCUCGAACCCGGGAGGGCGCAGAGGAGGACAAAGGGAAAGAAGGAAGGGGAGGGAGGUCAGGAACCUGCCGCUUCAAAGGCGCCGAGGGCCGGAGUGGGGUCGGAGGCUGCGAGCGCGGUACAAGGCUUCACGACGGCCUCCGGGGAGUCGUGUGCGCUGGGCUUUUGUUCUGGGCCCCCACCCCCAGUAAGACAUUUCAAAGUAGGAGCGAAAAGUGGGGGCUGCAAGCGAUUCUCGGGACGCGGGCUUUGAGCUCACGCUGGAGCGGCUUUACUCUCCACCCCCUGCGGGCCGAUCGCUGGCUCGCUGGUGCCUUUCUCACCAGCCCGCUAGACUUUCUGCGCCAACAAGGGCUGGAUUAUGUCGCCAGGACCCGCCGCUGCGCUUCUGGACGGACUGGAGGGGACUUUUCUUUGUGUUCUGUUCUGCUCGAGAACUGCCGCGCCGCCCUGGGCUGCUCGCGCCCUGGGCCUGGGGAAGCCAGCGGCUCGGUAACGGGACGAGGAGGGGCAGCCACCGGGGCCACAGUGCGAGGGCCGAGGCCCGGAGCUGCGAUGCAGCAAUUCGCGAGUCCCGAGGCUCCGAGGUCUCCACGCGCCCAGUCUCAGGGCCGGACACCGCAAUGGACCCCGGAAUAAAAAGAAACAGCCUCGCGCCGUCCAGAUGCCCUGUCCACUCCUGGCGUCCGUCUGGCAGGUGGCGGAACCUGGGUGCAAGAAGGCCCAACUUCCAAGCGCAGAGGCCGGAUUGCCUUGCUGUCCCUCCACCCGCAGGCCGCCACUCACUCGGACCCGAGCCGGAGAAAGCACUUGGGUCUGAGGCGUGGCCACACUGACUCCGUAAAUGCUCGCCUGGCCCUUCCUCCGUCUGCCCGAGAGGCAGCGAGAUGAACCUUUCUAUCUGUCCGCUCUCGGUUUUAUCUCCCUCUGCCACACUCUCUGCAGCGCAGCAACAAUCGAAAUGAAAAUCGAGGCUCCCGUUGCUAAGAUAAGGAUUUACUUUUUUCAUCAGCUCCUAGAUUUUAAAAAUAUCUUCAUUUGGUAAUUUUAGGGGUGGUUGUCAUGGUGUGAAAACCGUGCUUAGCAUUUCUUACCUUCUGUCCUUCCAUUUUCGCACUACAAAGGAAAACAGCCUCCAAACAAUUCUCUUUAUCAUAAUCUGAACCAAACCACCUUUUUAAAUAUUCUGCAAGCAAAUAUUCCGGUUAGAAUUUGGUUGCCUACCCAAAUGUUAUUUAUUUUCAGGAAGCAGAGGUGAUGUCUUAGUGGCGAUGAGUACAUAAUUCUGCUCCUCUUUUUCCGUGUGUGUUGGGGGGAGGGUAUUUAAGUAGAUGCCAAGCGACACAGCCAGACUCCUUUGAAUUUUUCCAGUCUCUUUCCGGCGCGGGCACAAAGGAGUUAAACCCGAGCGCUGUGGCCGCCACUUUUUCCCCGCCUCCCUCGCUUCUGCGGAACCGCCACGAUUGGUUGGCACUGUGCCAACGGGCUGUCCAUCACCAAGUGUAAACAAGGCGCUGAUUGGCUGUUAUCCAGUCCGCACAGGGCCUUCUGAAAAAAGCAAUUACUGGCUCCGAGGUUUCAAGGCUGCCCAAGGCCGCUUGAUGAAAGGAGAUAAACCGGGGACCGUUUCCAGGAUCCCCGCGGGCCGACCCAGGCGGCGGCUCCAGAGCCGAGGUGCGACGGAGAGCCCGGGGAUCAAAGGCAGCAGAAGAGAAAGGGGAAGCGGGCGCACCGCCGGGCCGGCCUGGCCCCCUGCGGGCCGAGCUGACCUGGGGUGGGGGCGGCGGGCGGGGACUCCGGGAUUUCCCGCCUGUUCGGGACGGGGGCUCGGCCGGCGCCCGCCCGCUGCAGGUAAGCCCGGGUCUCCGCGGGCUGCGCCGGGGCGCCGGACGGGGCGCGCGAGCCUGGCUGCAGGAUUGGCCAGCGCGGUGGCCGUGCGGCGCGCCGGGGAGCACGGGCUGCGGGGAGGCGCAGCUCCUGGAGAUCCGGUUCGCGCGCGGCUGUGCACGGUGCGAUUGAAUCAGGCCGGCCUGGGCGGGAUGGGUGCGGACGCCAGCUCGCGGUGGCGCGGCGGUGACCCGACGGCGAGCACAGGUCUGGCCGGGCUUGAGGUGAGCUUCGUUGCUCCAGUCCCACUCGGCAGCGGCGGCGAGCAGCCGUUUCCCGCUUCGCACGCAGGCGGAGCAGCUUCCCGGCUCGGGAGAAACCGCUGCGGCCAUCCCUGUUCCCUCCCGGUCGGUGCGGGCAUCCCUUAUCCAAGCCCUAGAUUAUCUGCGAGGUUUGGAAUCUCGAGUUCCUCAUUUUCCUUACCUCAUCUUGUUUUCUGAUCCAGGAGUCUUUAUAUCUAUCUAACUAUCACCCUAUUGAAAGUAGUCUCCGUCGCCCCAUCCCCCCCAAAGAAGAAAAGUCUAAAAAAAAAUUGGAUCCUGUAGCGAUAACCGCAUGGUGAGCCUCCGGGCCGCUGCCAGCUCGGGGGGGGGGGGGGGGCGGGUACCCGGUAGGCCGGCGUGGGGGAGGGGCGCGCCCAGCUAGCUCCGCACCCCACCCUCCCACUACGCACAGCCGGGUCGCCCUGGCCGGACCGGAAAGAUCCCUGAGCCUCGGAUCUACCCCCCUUCCUCGGCGGGUGGAGACUGGCAGAUGGGCACACCGGUAAUCCAGCCGUAUUCCAGAAAUUCUAGACAUGGAAGCAUGUGGCUUCUUUUCCUCCGCAAGCCGCUUUAGAAUCUUGGGGAUCCCUAAUCUCCGGAUCCCUAAAAGUCAGGCAUGAGGAUUUGUCUCCAACACCCUCACGUGCUCCCCCCCCCCUUCUGUGUGGCUUCCUUGAGAGCCUCCCCGGGUGUGAAAGGCCUCGGCUCCUAGCUGUCUUGCUCCCACCUCUGUGUCCUUUCUAACCCCAGCGUUCACUUAAGUGUGGUGGCCCUUUUUCCUCCUCCUCUCAACACUGUUUCAAAAUAAUUGUUACAGCGAAUAGCUGCCGAUGCGCCUCUGGAUGCCGCCAGCAGCUGGCAGCUGCCCAGCGCGGGCGCACAGCCCCCGGCAGUUCCACAAGACCUAAAUAAGCUCCCGUGUUCCUCUCGCAGGGCUCGGCCUCCCGGGCGGGCCCGGGCAUGUUUGGCUGGGUUCGCUAUCUGCUCAGAGCAAACCAUCCUGGUUUUCCUACUUGACUUCCUGCUGUCCGAAACUAACAAGUGUUUUUAAUUUUAGAAGAACAUGGCGUGAGGAUCGGGGUCCAUCUAGAGCAGUGGUUCUCAACCUUCCUAAUGCUGCCGCCCUAUAAUACACAAUUCAUGUAUAACGAUAAAAUGAUUAUCGUUGCUACUUCGUCACUGUAGUUUUGCUACUUUCAUGAAUCGUAAUGUAAAUGUUUUUGGAGUUAGAGGUUUGCCAAAGGGGUUGUGACCCACGGGUUGAGGACGCUGUUUUAGAGGCAGAGGAAUGGGGAGGGUUAGAAAGAGAGGCAGGAUUACAACCCAGAGAUCUCCGCACUGAGGGCUACGAAUCUGUGGAAUCGCCUGAAGUUUUAAAAAAUUGUGCAGCCACAGAUGCCCAGUCGCCAACCCAGGACACAAUAGCCUCUGAAUGCCUGGGCCACCUCCAGAGCCUGGCUGAUACCCACCAUAGUUUCCUCUAAGCUAGGGUGCCCUACAUAGCCAGCCGUGUCCCGGUACUGGGCACAGCCAUUCACACAUCAAGCAAUAGUGCAGUUUUAAACGUGUGCUCAGUCUACAUGCACGUUCUGCGGGCUCCCAUCCAUGUCCAGAUAUACCACAGAAUGGGCCCUGGCACCCAUGUGCGUCUCACACCACGCUCACUACAUUUGUGUGCACACAGAAAAGCAAGCUGGCAGGGUGGCUCAGCAAGCUAAGGCACUGGCCAAGCCUGACCACCUGAGUUAGAUCCGGGGGUUGCCCGAUACCCCGUGGUAGAAGGAGAGAGCUGACUCCUGUAGGGUUUUGGGGUUUUUUUGGUUUUGUUUUUGUUUUUUUUUGCUGACCUCAUGCUCACACCAUGGGUGCAGGCAGGCCAGCAGCAUGCACACACACACACACACACACACACACACACAAAUAAAUGUAAUGUAGAAGGACAGUGUGGUUCUCACACACUGACACACAUCACACACGUGUGCAUGCUCUCCAUGUUACAACCAACCGGACUGGACUGUAGCAACCCGGUACCCACAAACCCUGGUCCCUCCUCCAGCGUUCCCCACUGCCCCUGCAAGGCUGGAGCCUGGAAGCAGGCUUGGCCUCCCAGCUCCCAAAUGACCCAGAGCCUAUCUACGGUGUGAACUCAUUGAAUAAAUAAUCACUUUUUAAUACAAGGGGGUGGGGGUUUAUCUCGAGUUACAUAAAAUUGUGAAUUAGUCGCUGCUCCAAAUAAAUGCGUCCUUGGGCCGGAGAGCAGCGGAGCUGCAUGCAGGGUAAUUGUGUGUUGGGUGUCUUUCCAUUGUUCCCUGGGCCAUUAGUCAAAGGGCAAAUUAGAAACAAUUUCUUGACGACAAAAAAAAUUGACUCUUAAUUCUUCCCACAGAAGUGGAAGGGACAGGUCCCGAGGCCUAAGGCUGAAGCCUGGUCUGGAGGGUCAGGGGGCCCAGAGGGAGAGGGAACCUGGAGCUGGGUUUUGGAAUAGCGUGCAGGUUGGACCAGGCCAGAGAAGGAUGGAACUGGGGGCGGGGGGCGGGUCCUAGCAUCUGUUUCUCAGUGAGAUGACAGUCAAACUCCAUCCAUCUAGAAUCAGGGAUAGAAAGGAUGGCUGAGAACAUUGGGGUUUUACACUCUUCUCAAAGGGGUCAAAUGUAAAAGCUUCCUGAGGUCCUGGAUCCAUGAAGAUCCUCUACCAUGUCAAGGUCUGACUAGAAGGAAUACGGCAGAGGAAGGUCUGAGUGUGGCCAAGUACGUUCCUAACCAUGAAUCCUACCUGGGUCACCCAAAGGUACCUGCUGGUGCUCUGUGCCUGGGAGUAUGGGUGGCCUCUUGUUUGCUAGGUCUUCUGUCUUUGAGGCAUACGGUUUGUGCACAGACUUGACUGGAAGGAGAGAAGCAAGUUGGGGUGUCCCGACCCCAAGAUGAACGUUCUUCCCCAAAGGAUACUUCAAACAGCCCAUUUAUUUAGCUGGAGCAAGAGGUGUUGCCCUGCCCUGGGGGGGGGGAUAUUCCAGCCACACACACACCCAGCUCCUGUCCCCUCCCAGCUGGAGAAGGAACGAAACAGAGAAGCCGAAAAGGAAGAUUUGCAGGAUCCUGUUGCUGAGUGUCCCUGUUCUCCGCACACCUCUGGAGGCCUGGCUGUGCCCCCAGAUAACAUCGACCCUGAGGCAUUUCCCUGACACCGCUCCAAGCCCAGCCAGGAACUUCGCUAAAUUGAAGCUGGCUCAAGCCGGAAGGACCCCUGUGGGAGGCACAGGUUUUCCCUUGAAGGCCAUAGAUAGAUCAAGACCUGCUCCUAAGUUUUAAAAAGCCAGGAGAGAGAAGCCCCAGACCAUGCUGAAGUCAGAUAAACAGCUUCUCCAGCCUCUGCAGCUUCCUCCCAGGGAGGUUUAAAUUCUGUUGUUGCUGAUUUCCUCCAACCGGGUCAGGAGGCUGCCCAGCCCCCUCCCUGCACAGGAAAGGUGCUUGUUAAACACAGUCGUAAUUUGUGGCUAAAUAUAACCCAGUGUGUUCACACGGAAAGCAUAAUUCAGAGGGCUCGUUGCGUGAGGUUAUCAGUGAGGAGACCCAUCUGGGUUAAAUUAAAGUGAUUUUCAUAAGGAGCAGAAGCAUCUAUUGCUUCUCUGGGCCCUUUCACUGGUGAUAGUGUGAUAUCUGCAGUGAAGGGACCGGAGGAAGGUGGGCGGACGCCCCGCACCCCAGGCCUGAACCCUGGGCCUCCCAUUAGAGGUCUCUUCAUCCAAGGCCGGCUGUGGCUUCUGCUAAGCCUGCGAAGGUUCUGGAGGAACAGGCAGGCUUUGGGGCGUGGGAGGAGAUCUUUGGGGGUCUGGUAAAUAAGAAGUGAUGGAUUUUCCUGUUAGGUUGACCCAAGUAGCCCUCAGUCUUGGCAGUGAGGGUCACUCCCUGCCGCCAUAGCCCAGGAGGGAAAGCCCGGAUAAUCGGAGAGAUUCUCAAUAAUAGGUCAGGAUGGCUGAGUGACUGAAACAACCUUGCUUAGGGACAAGUGCCUGGUCAGUCAGUCUUUGUGUUCCUUCCAGGUAUAUCCCCCAAGGUGAAGCCGGCUUCAGGCUCUCAGACCGACACCUGCUUCCUCUGCUGGCUGCGCCAGGCCUGGCUUUGAAGGAGGUACAGUGGCUACAGGAUUACAGGCUUCAGCUGUGUGCAGAUGUGUUCACGCAGGUCAAACGGCAGGGUAUGUCUGGAGCACCUCUCCGGAGCUAAAUUUCCGCUGCCUGGGCUCACAGGGACAGGGAAACCAGAGGAAGCUCGGACCUCUUCUAGGCCCUAGGAAACACAUGCAGGCCAAGUGUCAGGGACUCCUCGGACCCAGGGUUUGCAGGAGUCACAGCCCCCAGGCCCUCCUCACUACCCUGUUCCUUCAACAGGCCCUCUACUCGCUUCCUUUCAAGUUCCCAUUACUGUGAAAGCCCAACUUUAACUGACUUCCCCACCGCCAUUUCUGCCCCACAAAGGGGACCCGUUGGGAGAACCCACAGCCAUGAGGCUCUCCUGUUGUUCUAGCGCUCUUGCCUCUCUCUCUACCCCCAGUUGUCUGGUGGUGAUUCCCUCUUUGGGCCUGGGACUUGACACCUGGCAGAAGACCCCACCACCAGUACUAUAAGACACACUGUGCACCUUCUCCCUGAUUUCUGGGGAGAUUUGAGCCCUUGGCCUGGUUACCUAAAAUAUAAGCCAAAUAAAAAUUUCCCUCCAAGUUACCUCUGAGCAUCAGGAUCUGUCUCAAGCCUGGAGGCAGCUGGGCCCCCUGACUGCUGGCUCCUGGCUGGAGUGUGGCAUGGCCACCGCCUCUUUUGUUAACAGGACAGUUGAUCCAUUAAAUUAAAAAUCAGUCAGUAGAUCAUUUUUUCCUAACGUGCAAAAACACACUCCACCCUAAUUCUGAGACAUUAAUGCCAGUGGAGGCAGGAGACUACCAUGGGACAAUACCACAAGUGGCCCCCAAAGUAAACUACCAGGAUAACCUCUUCACCAGAAUCCAGGUUGACCUGAGGAACCCGCCUCAGGGCCAGGGCCAUCGCCUAGCGCCCCCGUUCCCCCAUGCACUUUCUAGCGUAUUCCACUUGGGCAGACACUGAAAUGCGGGGUUCAGAGGUCUGUGUCACCCCCAGUGUGGUUGGUACUGGGAAUCCAACAUGAGGCCCCUUGCUGCUUCCCUGCACACUAGAAGCACAGACACAAUUGUGGGGGUGGGAGUUGGCAGGGUUGUUGUCUUCCCACCGGGUUUUUAAGUAGCAAGAUUUUUAGAUGCAAGCACACAAACAAAAAGCCUCCUGAGGUGGUUGGUAAAAAUUCAAAGCCUCUACAUCCGAGGCCGAAACAAAAGCUCUUUGAAAGUGCCGCUGCGGAGAUGGAGCGCUUCUCGGAUCUCGUGGAGCCAUCCGCCCGGGACCCGCAUCCGGAGAAGGAGCGGGCAGGCGCGGGUGUCCCCACCUGCUCACCGCUCAGUCCUGUCCCCGAGAAGAGGAAAGCGGCCAGAGGCACCAUAACCACAAAUUUAUGGCCUAGGUGACGUGCUUCCCUCUCCCACAAUGGGGCCUGGUGACAUUAAACAGAAAAUUGAUGGGAA